rnacentral:rRNA from 1 species
CAAUUGCGUAUAUUAAAGCUGUUGCGGUUAAAAAGCUCGUAGUUGGAUUUCUGUCAAGGACAACUGGUCCGCCCCUCGGGUGAGCACAUAGUUUGGUCUUGGCAUCUUGUUGGAAACUGUUGCUGCACUUGGUUGUGUGGCGCAGUGUCCAGCACUUUCACUUUGAGGAAAUUGGAGUGUUUCAAGCAGGCACAUGCCUUUGGACACAGUAGCAUGGAAUAAUUAGAUUGGGCUUUUGCUCCAACUUGUCGGUUUCUGGAGCUGAGGUGAGAAUUAAUGGGGAUUGUUGGGGGCAUCCGAAUUUAGCCGUCAGAGGUGAAAUUCUUGGAUCUGCUAAAGACGGACAACUGCGAAAGCGUUUGCCCAGGAUGUUUUCAUUGA